rnacentral:rRNA from 1 species
AACGAACGCUGGCGGCAUGCCUAACACAUGCAGGUCGAACGAGACCUUCGGGUCGAGUGGCGCACGGGUGCGUAACGCGUGGGAACCUGCCCUUAGGUUCGGAAUAACUCCCCGAAAGGGGUGCUAAUACCGGAUAAUGUCUUCGGACCAAAGAUUUAUCGCCUUUGGAUGGGCCCGCGUUGGAUUAGCUAGUUGGUAGGGUAAAAGCCUACCAAGGCGACGAUCCAUAGCUGGUCUGAGAGGAUGAUCAGCCACACUGGGACUGAGACACGGCCCAGACUCCUACGGGAGGCAGCAGUGGGGAAUAUUGGACAAUGGGCGAAAGCCUGAUCCAGCAAUGCCGCGUGAGUGAUGAAGGCCUUAGGGUUGUAAAGCUCUUUUACCCGGGAUGAUAAUGACAGUACCGGGAGAAUAAGCUCCGGCUAACUCCGUG